UACGGGGGGGGCAAGCGUUGUUCGGAAUUACUGGGCGUAAAGGGCUCGUAGGUGGCCAACUAAGUCAUACGUGAAAUCCCUCGGCUUAACCGGGGAACUGCGUGUGAUACUGGAUGGCUUGAGUUCGGGAGAGGGAUGCGGAAUUCCAGGUGUAGCGGUGAAAUGCGUAGAUAUCUGGAGGAACACCGGUGGCGAAGGCGGCAUCCUGGACCGACACUGACACUGAGGAGCGAAAGCCAGGGGAGCAAACGGG
rnacentral:rRNA from 1 species